GGAUGUGAGGGCAAUUGGCUGCAACAUCUGUUACCCCAGUGAACCCCAGGGUUGACUCAGCUGAUCUGACUGGCUCAGUGAGUGUCCCCUUCCUCACCGCUCCAUGUAUGUCCCUCCUGAAGCUGCAUGCUGAUUGAGGAGGACUGUUUCUUGGUCAAGGAUAUAGGGUAGCUGUGCUUUUUCUGGGUUUUUAAGAUAGCUGAUUUGAUAACUUCUGAUAAACCAAGGGACAUGCAUCAGGUUCCAGCAAGGGAUAUAACUGUUCUUUGGUCAAGGAUAUAAGAAUACUUGUGCUCUUUUUGAGUUUUGCUAGAACCUCCAAAUAAGUUCUCAAGGUCUUUUUGUAAGAAAAUGUAGUAACUUACAUCAGACCUCCCAGAACUUCAGGCAGAUCCAAAUAGGUCCCGCAUGUAGUCGUCUGCCUUCCUU
rnacentral:snRNA from 1 species